GCCGAGGUGGCGGAAUGGUAGACGCGGCGGACUUAAAAUCCGCUUCCCGUGAGGGAGUGUGGGUUCGAGUCCCUCCCUCGGCA
rnacentral:tRNA from 1 species